UCUGCAGACCGUCGUGGGAGCACGGCUACAAACGGAAAACGGCACUGCCGUUGAUGCAGAAUGUUUGGCUCUUGCAGACAAGCGGAUCACGUCUGAUCCAAAUAAAAGAUGACAGAGAAUUGGAGCCCAGCUGACUGGGGGGAGACAUUCAGCCUGGCUUGCUGGCCAAUAGCCCUGAUGGAGGAGAAAAAAGCACUCUAAGACUGAAGUACUAGGC